rnacentral:rRNA from 1 species
AACGAACGCUGGCGGCAGGCUUAACACAUGCAAGUCGAACGCCCCGCAAGGGGAGUGGCAGACGGGUGAGUAACGCGUGGGAAUCUACCUAGUUCUACGGAACAACAGUUGGAAACGACUGCUAAUACCGUAUACGCCCUACGGGGGAAAGACUUAUCGGAAUUAGAUGAGCCCGCGUAAGAUUAGCUAGUUGGUGGGGUAAUGGCCUACCAAGGCGACGAUCUUUAGCUGGUCUGAGAGGAUGAUCAGCCACACUGGGACUGAGACACGGCCCAGACUCCUACGGGAGGCAGCAGUGGGGAAUAUUGGACAAUGGGCGCAAGCCUGAUCCAGCCAUGCCGCGUGAGUGAUGAAGGCCUUAGGGUUGUAAAGCUCUUUCACCGAUGAAGAUAAUGACGGUAGUCGGAGAAGAAGCCCCGGCUAACUUCGUGCCAGCCGCCGCGGUAAUAC